rnacentral:lncRNA from 1 species
UAGAGAUAUAUUGUGGACCUCUGGAAGUUAUGGAUUUAAAAUCUGAGUGGUGGAUCUUCCGGAUUGAACUACAUAGUGACGUAUUUUAUAUAAGUUAUAUAUUCUAUCGAUAUGAAUUCUGAGGUUGGAAUUGAUUAUUGUUUUAGGCGCCGAUCGUCAUGACGCCUUGGCGUAUUGUGCUAGGGAGUUGUAGGGUGAACUCCAGGUGAGUGGGCAGUUUUGUUUUCCGUAUAUAUAUAUAUAUAUAUACUUGACGUUUUCCCAGAAAUUGAAUUAGAAUGAAAUUAUGUUUUAAAUGAAAGGUAUAUCGAAUUAUAUGAAAACGUGAAUUGAAAGGUCAUGCAUAGAAGUAUAUGAAAUAUAUAUG